UACGUAGGUGGCGAGCGUUGUCCGGAUUUACUGGGCGUAAAGAGCGCGCAGGCGGUCGUUCAAGUCGCGUGUGAAAGCCCCCGGCUCAACUGGGGAGGGUCACGCGAUACUGAUCGACUCGAAGGCAGGAGAGGGUAGUGGAAUUCCCGGUGUAGUGGUGAAAUGCGUAGAUAUCGGGAGGAACACCAGUGGCGAAGGCGACUACCUGGCCUGUUCUUGACGCUGAGGCGCGAGAGCUAGGGGAGCAAACGGG
rnacentral:rRNA from 1 species